AGCAUUUGGGGUCUGUCAAUAAGAUAGACUAGGCUUAGGUUUCUACAAGUGUAUGAAAAUAUCGGUCUUCCUUUUUCUCAGCAGGAACUCCUCUGUGAAGUCUUGGUUGGAGCCCUUCCACCUCCUGACCUGUCACAUCAGUAAAUCAACCUCCCCCAGGACGAUGUGGAUUCUGAGGGACAACGGCUGUUUUGGAGGAGCUUGCCAGAUUCUCCCUCCCCUUGACUCUCUUCAAAGCUACGUCUAG
rnacentral:lncRNA from 1 species